UCCUAUCACAGCACCCACUUGGAACAACCUAACAGAGGAAGGGAGGAAAAGUAUGAGGGAUCUUAGAGAAAUCAUAAUUAAAGGCAUUAGAGAGGCUGUUCCGAAGGGACAGAACUUCGAACGAGCCUUUGAGAGCAGCCAACAGAAAGAUGAGGCCCCGACCGCGUUCUUACAGAGAUUGCGGAAAAAUAUGCAGCAGUAUUCGGGGAUAGAACCUGAUUCAGGAGCAGGGCAGCAGUUGUUAAGGGCUAAUUUUGUAACCAAGUAAUGGCCAGAUAUCAGAGAGAAAUUGAAGAAAUUGGACGACUGGAAUGAAAAGCCAUUGAACCAGUUGUUAACAGAGGCUCAGAAGGUAUACGUACGACGAGAUGAGGAACGACAGAAAGGGAAAGCAAAAAUGAUGUUACAAGCCGUGCAGCAGGUAGCACAGACGGGGGGG